rnacentral:rRNA from 1 species
UACGUAGGGUGCGAGCGUUGUCCGGAAUUACUGGGCGUAAAGGGCGCGUAGGUGGUGGCUUAAGCGUGCGGUGAAAGCUCGGAGCUCAACUCCGAGUCGGCCGUGCGAACUGGGCUCACUGGAGCAUAGUAGAGGCAGGUGGAAUUCCGGGUGUAGCGGUGGAAUGCGUAGAGAUCCGGAAGAACACCGGUGGCGAAGGCGGCCUGCUGGGCUAUGGCUGACACUGAGGCGCGACAGCGUGGGGAGCAAACAGGG